rnacentral:tRNA from 1 species
CGCGGAGUAGAGCAGUGGUAGCUCGUCAGGCUCAUAACCUGAAGGUCGUUGGUUCGAUCCCUUCCUCCGCCA